rnacentral:rRNA from 1 species
ACGAACGCUGGCGGCGUGCUUAACACAUGCAAGUCGAACGGAAAGGCCCCUUUGGGGGUACUCGAGUGGCGAACGGGUGAGUAACACGUGAGUAACCUGCCCUUGACUUCGGGAUAACUUCAGGAAACUGGGGCUAAUACCGGAUAGGAAUCCUUGCUGCAUGGUGGGGGUUGGAAAGCUUCGGCGGUUUUGGAUGGACUCGCGGCUUAUCAGCUUGUUGGUGGGGUAGUGGCUUACCAAGGCUUUGACGGGUAGCCGGCCUGAGAGGGCGACCGGCCACAUUGGGACUGAGAUACGGCCCAGACUCCUACGGGAGGCAGCAGUAGGGAAUAUUGCACAAUGGGCGGAAGCCUGAUGCAGCAACGCCGCGUGCGGGAUGACGGCCUUCGGGUUGUAAACCGCUUUCAGCAGGGGCGAAGCUUGUGGUGACGGUACCUGCAGAAGAAGCACCGGCUAACUACGUG